rnacentral:rRNA from 1 species
GAUGAACGCUGGCGGCGUGCCUAAUACAUGCAAGUCGAACGCACAGCGAAAGGUGCUUGCACCUUUCAAGUGAGUGGCGAACGGGUGAGUAACACGUGGACAACCUGCCUCAAGGCGUGGGGAUAACUAUUUAGGAAACAGAUGCUAAUACCGAAUAAACUUAGUGUCGCAUGACACAAAAGUUAAAAGGCGUCUUUGGCGUCAACCUAAAGAUGGAUCCGCGGUGCUA